AGGUCAUUUUGAGGACAAUUUCUCAACAAUCCAUUAUAGCGCUCCCAUGCCUCAUAAAGUGACUCAACCGGAUUUUGCUCAAAAUUUUGCUAUUGCCUUUUUGAGUUU